rnacentral:rRNA from 1 species
UACGAAGGGUGCGAGCGUUAUUCGGAAUCAUUGGGCGUAAAGGGUGCGCAGGCGGCGCGCUAAGUCAGCUGUUUAAUUCCCCGGCCUAACUGGGGGCAAGCGGCAGAUACUGGCGUGCUAGAGGAUGGGAGAGAGAAGUGGAAUUCUCGGAGUAGCGGUAAAAUGCGUAGAUCUCGAGAGGAACACCGAUGGCGAAGGCAGCUUCUUGGUCCAUUUCUGACGCUAAUGCACGAAAGCGUGGGGAGCAAACAGG